rnacentral:rRNA from 1 species
GACGAACGCUGGCGGCGUGCUUAACACAUGCAAGUCGAACGGUGAAGCUCCAGCUUGCUGGAGUGGAUCAGUGGCGAACGGGUGAGUAACACGUGAGCAACCUGCCCCUGACUCUGGAAUAAGCGCUGGAAACGGCGUCUAAUACUGGAUACGAGAAGGGUCCGCAUGGGCACUUUCUGGAAAGUUUUUCGGUUGGGGAUGGGCUCGCGGCCUAUCAGCUUGUUGGUGAGGUAAUGGCUCACCAAGGCGACGACAGGUAGCCGGCCUGAGAGGGCGACCGGCCACACUGAGACUGAGACACGGCCCAGACUCCUACGGGAGGCAGCAGUGGGGAAUAUUGCACAAUGGGCGAAAGCCUGAUGCAGCGACGCCGCGUGAGGGAUGACGGCCUUCGGGUUGUAAACCUCUUUCAGCAGGGAAGAAGCGAAAGUGACGGUACCUGCAGAAGAAGCACCGGCUAACUACGUG